rnacentral:pre_miRNA from 1 species
AGCCUUCUAUAUCCGUGCUAUGAUUUCGUCACACACUUGACCACAAGGGUUAAUGAGAUUCCCAAGAUCAGUGAAGCG